rfam:Mycobacterium sp. 1274761.0 strain 1274761 contig_47, whole genome shotgun sequence.
GUGAGAGUCGUCACAGGCGUACAGUCGAUCGCACGACGGGUUCGGGAGUGACCUAUCCGAAGAGUCGGCAAGAGGUGAAAG